UAAUCAUUAGUCUUUUAAUUGGGGACUGGUAUGAAUGGCUAAACGAGAGAUCAACUUUUUUUAUUACAAUUUUUCUAAUUUCAUUUUUUAGUGAAAAAGCUAAAAUAAUCUAGAAAGACGAGAAGACCCUAUAGAGUUUAUAUAUAUUUUAAUAAUGAAUUAAAUUGGGAUUUUACUAGUUUGUUAUGAACUUAUAAUUUGUUGGGGCGACGUUAAGAUAAAACUAACUCUUUUUUCUAAAAACUUGUAUGCAAGUAUUUAUUGACCCUCUAAAAGGGACCAUAAGAAAUAAUUACCUUAGGGAUAACAGCGUAAUCUUUUUUGAGAGUUCUAAUCGACAAAAAGGUUUGCGACCUCGAUGUUGGACUAAAAUUUAGACGUAGGUGCAGUAGCUUCGUUUUAGAGUCUGUUCGACUCAUAAUAUUUUACACGAUCUGAGUUCAGACCGGCGUGAGCCAGGUUG
rnacentral:rRNA from 1 species